ensembl:lncRNA novel transcript, antisense to RWDD3
CUCACCUUCACUGCAACAAAGAAGGGUUGUUAAAGCUGGACACAGAGACAUGUUUCAUCACAUUACCCAAGCUGUUUUCGAACUCCUGAGCUCAAGCGAUCUACGCACCUCAGCCUCCCAAGUUCCUGGGAUUACAGAUGUGAGCAACCACAACCAGCCGAUUUCCAUUGAGUUUUUUCUGCUGUUUCUAUCUUGUCUCUUCGUGUAUCCAGUUACCUCUGAUCAUUUGCGAGAUACUGAAUUUUAAAAUUAUUCACAGAUAUAAUCUGAGGCCUUAGGAGGAUGUUAGCUUUCUUCAAAGAAGAUUUGGAGGAUUUGAGAGUAUUAGAAUCAUCCAAGUUGAAGAUUUAAGAUUUUCUGGACCCACCAGAAUUCUCAAACCUUACCUAUAGUCUAGGACAAUUGGUUUAUGUACAGUUCACCUUUAUUAACACAGUGUAGUCCUUUGGGGGUCCUAGCUCUUGGCCCCACCUACUUUAUCCUCCAGACCCCAAAUUUACUCCCUACAUCUUCAAGCUGACAAAAA